rnacentral:tRNA from 2 species
GCCGGGGUGGCGGAAUUGGUAGACGCAAGGGACUUAAAAUCCCUCGGGGGUAACCCCGUGCCGGUUCGAUUCCGGCCCUCGGCACCA